GAUGAACGCUAGCGGGAGGCCUAACACAUGCAAGCCGAGCGGUAUUGUUUCUUCGGAAAUGAGAGAGCGGCGUACGGGUGCGGAACACGUGUGCAACCUGCCUUAUCAGGGGGAUAGCCUUUCGAAAGGAAGAUUAAUACCCCAUAAUAUAUUGAAUGGCAUCAUUUGAUAUUGAAAACUCCGGUGGAUAGAGAUGGGCACGCGCAAGAUUAGAUAGUUGGUAGGGUAACGGCCUACCAAGUCAGUGAUCUUUAGGGGGCCUGAGAGGGUGAUCCCCCACACUGGUACUGAGACACGGACCAGACUCCUACGGGAGGCAGCAGUGAGGAAUAUUGGACAAUGGGUGAGAGCCUGAUCCAGCCAUCCCGCGUGAAGGACGACGGCCCUAUGGGUUGUAAACUUCUUUUGUAUAGGGAUAAACCUAGAUACGUGUAUCUAGCUGAAGGUACUAUACGAAUAAGCACCGGCUAACUCCGUGCCAGCCGCCGCGGUAA
rnacentral:rRNA from 1 species